UACGUAGGGUGCAAGCGUUGUCCGGAAUUACUGGGCGUAAAGAGCUCGUAGGCGGUUUGUCACGUCGGCCGUGAAAACUCGGGGCUCAACCCCGAGCCUGCGGUCGAUACGGGCAGACUAGAGUGCUGUAGGGGAGACUGGAAUUCCUGGUGUAGCGGUGAAAUGCGCAGAUAUCAGGAGGAACACCGGUGGCGAAGGCGGGUCUCUGGGCAGUAACUGACGCUGAGGAGCGAAAGCGUGGGGAGCGAACAGG
rnacentral:rRNA from 1 species